UAGGAUAAUAGUUAAUUAUAACAUUUAACUUGCACUUAAAAGGUAUUGAAAUUUAUCAAUUUAUCUU
rnacentral:tRNA from 1 species